UACGUAGGGUGCAAGCGUUGUCCGGAAUUAUUGGGCGUAAAGAGCUUGUAGGCGGUUUGUCGCGUCUGCUGUGAAAUUUCGGGGAUCAACCCCGAACUUGCAGUGGGUACGGGCAGACUAGAGUGUGGUAGGGGAGACUGGAAUUCCUGGUGUAGCGGUGAAAUGCGCAGAUAUCAGGAGGAACACCGAUGGCGAAGGCAGGUCUCUGGGCCAUAACUGACGCUGAGAAGCGAAAGCAUGGGGGAGCGAACAGG
rnacentral:rRNA from 1 species